rnacentral:tRNA from 2 species
GCCCCCGUAGCUCAGUGGAUAGAGCACCGGAUUCCUAAUCCGGGUGCCGCAGGUUCGAUCCCUGCCGGGGGCACCA